UGCUUCAAGGCUCAGGUGACUUGGCCUCCUUGGCAGCAUCCAGUGCAUCUGGCCUCUGUCUCUUCAGUGCAGAUUCAAGUGCAACACAUACAGUAGUGUGACCCCUGUCGUCUCCAUGGUGGAUGUGCAUCACAGCAUGAGUUGCAUUAAUUUGGAUCCCAAGGUGCCCUUUCUGCAGGGGACAGAGAGAUACUCUUUGAAAACACUGGAUUCCCGUCCAGGCCCUGGGAUCAAGCCCAAGUCGAGCUACCUGCCUAGGGAAGGAAAGCCUGCUUCUCCCGCUGCCUCAGCCUGCCGCUCUGCCUAUUUGUGAGCUCUAUGUCUCUGGCAAAGAAGUGAAUACAAUUCUUACACGAUAAAUAAGCACAUUUAUAAAAAUGAAACGUAA